UCUAUUCAUUUAUUUAACUAUUUGUCUAUUCAAUAGCUCAUUUAUUCAUUAACUUGAAAUUUUAUUUAAUCACCUAUCCAAUCCAUGAUUCAUCAACCUAUCUGUUGAUUUAUUCAUAUAUUGGUUUAUUCAUGGACUCAUUUAUUCAUUUAUCCAUUUAUUCAACCAUUCAUUAAUUCAUUAAGUUCAAAAUACCAUUUAAUCACUUAUUUAUCAACCUCCCACUUGAUUUAUUCAUCUAUUGGUUUAUAUUUAUCUUAUUUAACUACUCGUCUAACUGUUAAUUUAUUCAUUUAUUGGUUCAUUUGUUUUCUUUUUCUAUAUAUUUAACCCUUUAAUCAGUUAUUCAUACAUUUCUCUAGAUCUAUUCAUCAAUACAUUUAUUUAUUCAUUGAUCUGCUGCUUCAUUAAUUCAUUUUACCCUUUAUUUAGUUGUUUAUACAUUUCUACAGAUAUAUUCAUUAAUUCAUUAAAUCCAGGAAGUAUCACGUAAGAACUAUAGGAGAACCAAGCACAGGUUCAGAGGACCAGACUAUACAUCAAGUAAACAAGAUGGAGCAGAGUAUGGUGGGCAGUCUGACCACAGAUGAUGAGGCUAUCACCGUCCACCAUUCCAAAUUCUCCAGCUACGAAGAGUAGAAUCUCAAAUAGUUUUUUGACCAAAUCAAUAAUUUUAUUGGAGACCCCAAGCUUUUCAUCGGAGACUCCUGAUUUACAUGGACACACAUUGACUGUCACCAAAAGCGUUUAAGCUUUUCAUCGGAGACCUUUUAUAAAAAAAUGAAGGUUAUUCUUUUGAAAUAUAUCGUCUCCAGUGUAAAUCUAUAGGGUCUCUGAUGAAAAUCUGAGAGGGUCUCUGAUGAAAAUCUGGGAGGGUCUCCGAUGAAAACAUCUAGCUCCUCACUGAAAAUUUGAGGUCUUGAAUAUUAGGUAGUAUUCCAAUGAUGAUGAGUUCCUUUCAAAAUGAUAGAAAUUUGGAUUUUGAUACUAAAAGGUCAUUGAUUAAAUCUUAUAAAAGUGUAAACUAGGUUCAUUUUUACGAAAAUUUACAUAUAUUUCA